rnacentral:rRNA from 1 species
GGGGAAUCUUGCACAAUGGGGGAAACCCUGAUGCAGCGACGCCGCGUGAGCGAAGAAGCCUUUCGGGGUGUAAAGCUCUCACGCCAGGGACGAUAAUGACGGUACCUGGAGAAGCAGCUGCGGCUAACUACGUGCCAGCAGCCGCGGUAAUACGUAGGCAGCAAGCGUUGUUCGGAAUUACUGGGCGUAAAGGGUGCGUAGGCGGCGCCUUAAGUUUGGUGUGAAAUCUCCCGGCUCAACCGGGAGGGUGCACUGAAAACUGGGGCGCUCGAGUGUGGGAGAGGAAAGCGGAAUUCCUGGUGUAGCGGUGAAAUGCGUAGAGAUCAGGAGGAACACCCGCGGUGUAGACGGCUUUCUGGACCAUGACUGACGCUGAGGCACGAAAGCGUGGGGAGCAAACA